GAUGUUCCUGUUUAAACUUUGAGCAUGACUUUGAUUAUUGUAGUGUUUUAUAUACAAAUAGAGACUAUCUUUCCUGAACAUGGCAAGGAUGUCAGUUAUAUGGCUUUUGGCAAAAGCUUACACAGUUAUACUUUGCAUUUCAGAAAGUUCUCCAGUCUUUGCAACGAGACUCUGAAUAACGUCCGGUUGGGUCUUAUCUAGUCUGUUCUGCUUGCCUGGUUGAGUUCAGUUCUCAGACUGCUUUCUGCCUCUUUCCCUUUUCUUUCCCCUUUUAAAAGUAUGUAUUUCUUACAUCAUCUACAAUGAUUGUGUCAUGCUUAUUGUAUUAAUAGCACUUCACAUUUUCGAAGAAAAAGGACAAGAAAUGAUGUUAGUUUCUCCUGUAAUCUCAUUGGACUUUCAACUGAAGUGUGCUUUGACCAGAAAAUCACCACCAGAAAUGGAAACAGAUCUCUGUAGGUAUGGAGCACAUCAAAUACUAUUGCCUGGUUUGAUUUUCUAUUUCUGUUUACGUUAUCACUACCAUGAGACUGUUUUUUAAAGUUCCCCCGUGUCCUGUAGGAUAAGAUAGUAGCAUACUUCCCAUUUGGCUUUCAAGCAGUAAUUAAGCUGGGUUUAGUUUACCGUUUUAAUGAGGAGAACUCCCUACACAAUUCCCUGUAUCGUGCAUAAACACAGAUUCCUGUUUAUUCAGACAGAGAGAUCUGUUAGUGAUGUGUUAUGCUAACAUCUGUCUUGAAAUAAAACGAAGCUAUUUUUAAAAGUCCAUGAAUGAAUAGAACGUGAAGGGAGGUUUAUGGACUAUUAAGCUGAUCAAAUGUUCAAGUGUAAACACCCAGGGAAAGAUGCCUGAGAUUAUUUAAUAUUCAGAAAAAUGUGAAUGCCUGGGAGAAAUAUUCCUGUGUGCAUUGAUGCAUUUUUUGUUCUACCCAUCCCUACACAAUAGAAGUCUGGUGGCAGCUUAAUGUUGGGUAUCUGGGAACAGAAUAAAGCUGAUACUGCCUGUUGUGUUCCUGUAGCCUGGAUGUAUAAGGAUGUGCAGCAGCCCCUCUGCAGGUUGUUUGGCUGGGCUGCUUUCCCUGGGAGACAGUGUGUUACUGAGAGGCAGACAGUGAGUGCCUCCAGCCCCGUGCUAUGUGUGGAUGGGGUGUUUGGGUCCUGCAGCUCUAAGCCCUUCAGGCUCCUGCGGGCAAUACAGCCUGCAAGGGCUGGGUGUGUUGGGUUCACGUGUGGGAGGCAGUGCAGGAGCAGAAAGUGAAAAUGCUUCAUUCCUGCAUGGACUGCCACAGAGCUGACCUGAAUUACAGCCCCUGCAUUGAAGCGACCACAGGGACUGCUCCAUGUCUAUUAUUUUCUAUGUCAUAAGGUGAGAAAAAGUGCUUCAUGAAGUGUUCUGUGAUGGAACUGCCUGGAUUUACUGCAACAGACAUGGCCAUGCUUAAAUGGUGCUAGCUAUUCAGAAGAAUCCAUUUUUACCAAGCAAGUUGUUUAUUUUUACACAACAGAAUAUUGAGAAAGCAUUUUCAAGUGGUAAUAAAUUCCCUGUGAAUGCAUGUGGCAAUGUCUGAGAAUAUUUUUAUUAAGAUGGAAGCAUUAAAGUAAAAUACAGAACAGCUAAAUGUCAGAGUAUGGAGAGGGACAUUUACCAAUAAAAUAUAAAACCCACACACAGAAGAAAAGAAAAAGUUUUCUUCAAAGGCCUCUGUUGUAGAAUGUAUGUCUGUCUUCAUGAAACACAGCUUUAAGAACAGCUGCAAAACUAUGACAUGGUGACCCUCAAGCCCCAGCAUUUGCUAUAAGCAGAUGUUGAACUUAACAUUUUACUCAGUACAUUUCCACCGAGUACUGGCAGCCUUUUAAUAUAUCUAAUGCUAAUUUGUAUUUAUGGAGACGUUUUUUGACAGUCUGAUAUGUUGUGCAGUAUGAUAUGGCUGUAUACCUUUCUCAAAGUCCUGUAAAAACAGUGAAUUUGCAUUCUUCAUGAAACUGGGGCAUGUCCUGAGCAGGCACAACUUGACUUCAUAGUCAGUCGGCUCCAGUACCUUUGUUACACAUGAGUUUACCAAGAGCAUGUUGCUGAAAGGUCAACAGAUUGCUCAGUCUGGUCAAAACAUCGUUCCAAGUUUUAUAUUGCACAAGCUUUGCUCUUGAGAAAGGUCCCCUUGAGUGAUUCCCUUUUUAUAAGAAGUACAGUGCUGUUUUGCCACUGAAUUUUUAAUGCAUUUCUUCUUCCUGAAGUAUGUUGCUAAGACACACUACCUUGUUUUCCAUUCACCAUUCAAGCAACACUUCUACCAUACACUGGGAAAAUCACUUUGAGGAACGUGGGCUACCAACAUCAACACUGCUGAGCUGCUGUUCAUGACCACUUGUAGCACGAAUGUGUCCACCGAGGAGGUUGGAGUGUCAGUCUAUAUCAUCUGCCAUCUUUUGAGCUGAUGUCUCCAGGGGCCGCAGAGAGGUCAUGAGAGAACAUCAUCUUUGGCUCCAAGAUAUUAAUGGAAUUUCAAACUUGUUUACGCCAUCCAGCAAGUUACUUUUAGGCACAGUAAUGCAGGAAUGGCUGCAGGAUUAACUCUAAUCCAAGGUCAGCGAAAGAAAAUACGGAGCUUGGCAAAUGAAUUUUUGAUCCAGAGAUCCAUGUAUUCAUCUUAAUGACAGCACAUUGCUAACAUUAACUCGCAGCAAACAUGCACAGAAGAAGGUGAGUUGUCAGACAAACAUGCAGUGCCUGAGGAGUCUUCCUGCGAAGUACCACUGCUGGGAGGGGAUGCUCAAUGGGAAACCAUCUUACCGAUUUGCUUACAAAGUAGGGGACUAUUACACCCUGAUUUUAAAGAAAGGAAAUGCAAGCACAUAGCUGGUGUAUGGGAGCAACACAAGAAGUCUAAAGCACUCCCAGAUGCUGGAUCUACAACUCUAAGGACUGACUUGAUUUUUGUCGUUGUUCUGUGGCAAAUGUCUCUGUGAACAAGAGCUUGUAAAAAAGUUUCCAGAUUAAAAGCAGCAUUCUUUCUGGCUUAGCUCCUAAGCAUAUUGGAUGAUCUUAAUAUCUGCCUUGUGAAUGCAUAUUGCAUUUAUUGUAAUAUUGCAACAUUUAUUGCAAUAUUGCAAAUUCACCUGUAUUAAAUGUUGAUCCCAUGCAGAGACAUUGAACCCCAUUUCAUAAGGGAACUCUUUCACGUGCUGGGAUGUAUCACUUGGAGGCUUUUCAAAUGAGGUUGUUUUGGAAUAGCUUACUUCUUUGCACUAGUUUCCUGAGCAAGACUUGCAGGCUGUCAAAUAUAAACACAUAUUUCAGUGGGAACAGUUUAUAAGAGCUUCAUUCUAAUGUAAAUUUACAUGAGUUUUGCAUUGGUGUAACUGCUGGAUCUGGAUGAGGAUCAGAUGUGAGAUCAGAUCAGUGCUCACCCUGUGGCCUCGCACAUCCCCUUCUGCCCCUGGCAGAGUGUUACCUCACCCCUGUGUGCUCCUGCACCAGAAGGGCUGGCUGCUGGCUGCCCCACUCUUGGAGGUGGUACCUGUCCCUUCCAGUCACCCACUUGCAAAUAAUUAACCCACUGUUAAGGCCUGCAGCCAAACCCAUGUCAGCCAGGCUGGGGAGAUCACCAUGGCUGCUUUUUCCCUCUGUUUCACCCCAGAUGAAUUAGUUGAUGUUACCCCAAAUUCAGUUUGAUUUCCCAUCCAUUUUCCUUUCUCAGCCUCUGUAGGUUCUGUCCCUGAUUUCACAGCACUGCAAUCAGCUGCGUGCUGAAUUAAUGCUCUGUUUACCUUCUAGUCCAGAUUGUUAACAGCAUGACCCUGGUUCACAAAGUUCAUUGGCUUUUAUUAGCUUAAUUUGGUCCUUUAAUGGUGCUGCUCAUUCACCUUCAAAGCCUGGGAGGCUGACUUCUUUUUUUGCUCUUUUUAUUCAGAGCAAAAAAAAAAAUCAGAAAAAGAAUGAUAUUUCUGGUAUAUGUAUGUCUCGUGUCAGCACAGCUUUACUUUUAUUUCUGGAAUUUCCACUCUUUUUCUUCACAGAUAUCGUUCCUUGCUCAAGCAACAGCUCUUUCUUUAUCUUUUCUUUUCUUCUUUUUUUCUUUCCUCUCUGGAAAAGGACAACCAAUCUUUCCCCUCUUCUCUUUUGCCACCCCAAGCUUUUGUACAGCUCAUAGCAUCAUUCCUAGAAAAUCUGCAAAACAUGAAUAUUGAGGGCUGGGGCUGCUUUCAGUUACUGGAAUGAGGCUGCUAACCUCAUCCUGCAUCUGAUUAAUACGUAAGUAGCAAGGAGGUGCCCUGUAGGGAGUCCAAAUAGGAAUCCCUUCUGUUAUAGGAUGCCACAGCUAUGAGUCACUCCAAAUGAGGAUCUUAGUAAAAACAUCGACAUCUCUAAACUAUUUGGGGAAAAUAAACAAAUCUAUCUAAAGGAAUGUUAACCUGUUGAUCCUACGGUGGCUUUUUUUUCCUUCUGAAUGUUCUUUGCCUUUGCUUGAGCUAAUAACAUUGCUUUACUACAGAAAGAGGUUUUAAACUGUGCACAGCGCGGUCCCUUUGAGCCUAAUGGCAAUGCAGAGAUGAGCGAUGCUUUCGUGUGUUGUGCCCUCAAAGGAUCAUUUUCAGGAACAAAUGUUGCAGAAUAAAAAUAAUAACCAAAAUUAAGGACAUUACAGAGCUAAUGUGAAGUUUAUGGCAUGACUGAAAUACCAAACUCUUACAUAUUAUCUAAAACUCCCAUGGGAGAACUUUAGAAGUAUAAAAAAAGCUCAAGUCAAAUUCUCACUUCCUUUUUACUACUGACACUUCAAAGCUCUUCCUGCAGAAAAUGUCAUUUCCAGGCUUGAGUAACUCUCCUCUUUGGGCGUUCCUUGCCCCUGGCUGGCAGCAUAUUUGCCAUUAUCAUAUUUUUCCUACGUUUGGGUGCUGCUGCUAUGCUGUGUCCAGGCACAGCUGAGCACCCUGCCUCUGAGCCACCAAGAGGAGCAGCAGCUCUGAGCUCCCUGGACCUAGUUUUUGUCAGCAGAUUAUGGGUGCAGAGCCCUGUUUGUGGCUGGCAUGCUGGUCCUGUGAGUGGUGGCAGUGCUGUGAUGUGUUUCUCAGUGCAGACAGCCAACUGCUGCCAAGCCAUUUCCCAAGCGGAAUACAAUAGCCAAGCUUGGACAUCACCUCCAGGUUGAAAUCACUCCUCUCCUAGGACCAAAACACCUUACAGUUAGAAUGGAGAUGCUUAGUCCUGUGAAAGUUGCAGCUGUUGUAGGUGUCAUGCAAAGGUGGAGGGAUACUCCCAAAGGAUGCUACCAUAAACCUGGGGGCUGCAGGCACUGCUGCUUCCUGAAAUGCCAGAGGUCUCUGUCCAGCUUAUGUGAAAUGUCAGAACACCAUUGGCAACCACCUGUGUGAUGGUUAUGGUUUGGCUAAAAGGUCUACUGGAGGAGGAAGGGCUGUGUAUUCUCGUGAGAUGGACUGAGGAAGUCUUGUGAUGGCCUUGGGACAAACAGAAGAUGUGUGAGAAAUGUCUUCUAAUAGACCAAAGUUUCCUGCCUGGAAAGUCAAGGGAGUCAAGACUGCCAAGGAGUGGAGCAUCAGAAAAUAUAUACAGCCCAUGGAUCUCAUGUGGAGGAAGAACACUGUAAGACUGCUGUGACUGAUUUCUAGGGAUAACCACCCAGGAAACUGAUGCCGAGCUUACAGUGCAAUUGCAAGUUGGUUGAGACAAGUCAGUGAAGAUAGUAAAGACAUGAAAGAUACAAAAAAGACACACACAAAUCACACAGACUGAUGUGAUAGGGAGGGCUAGUGAGACAGAAAGUGAGAAGAAAACAGAAGAAAAAGUAAGACCUUCUGUUUCAUAUGCUUUAAGACUGCAAGGAAACAAUAUGAAAAAGUGAUUCUCUGACAAAUGAAAGCAACUCAAUAAGAAUGAAAGCAGCAUAAUGCCCCUGAGACCAGCAGCUGCCUACAUGGUACAAUACAAUUGUACUUGGUAUUGGUUGCCUGUUGUGAUGAGCACAGUGCAGAUACAGCAACUGAAGUUAGCAGUGCCUCUGAUUUUAUUAUGACCCUCAAGAUGUUUGUUGCUCUUCAUAUAGCACUUUUUCCUGUUUUCUUGUGAUAGUUGGGAG
ensembl:lncRNA